GACGAACGCUGGCGGCGUGCUUAACACAUGCAAGUCGAACGGAAAGGCCCUGCUUUUGUGGGGUGCUCGAGUGGCGAACGGGUGAGUAACACGUGAGUAACCUGCCCUUGACUUUGGGAUAACUUCAGGAAACUGGGGCUAAUACCGGAUAGGAGCUCCUGCUGCAUGGUGGGGGUUGGAAAGUUUCGGCGGUUGGGGAUGGACUCGCGGGUUAUGAGCUUGUUGGUGGGGUAGUGGCGUACCAAGGCUUUGACGGGUAGCCCGCCUGAGAGGGUGACCGGCCACAUUGGGACUGAGAUACGGAGCAGACUGCUACGGGACGCAGAAGUGGGGAGUAUGGCGCAGUGGGCGGGAGCCAGAUGCAGAAACGCCGCGAGCGGGAUGACGGCCUUCGAGUGGUAAACCGCUUUCGCCUGUGACGAAGCGGGAGUGACGGUAAUGGGUAAAGAAGCACCGGCUAACUACGUG
rnacentral:rRNA from 1 species